AUACCUUCGGUUUGACGAUUUAUUGUCUCGCCGGCGUUGGCGGUUUAAGAGGGUUAACCCCCCUAAUUCCGUUUAAACACUGACAGCGGGGUAAGUUUUAAGUAACACCUAUCGAUUAGUAGAAAUAUUUAUCGUUGGAAAGCCUAAAACUCCCGCAAUACAAAAUAUGGGGAAACCCAAACCAA
rnacentral:misc_RNA from 1 species